UGAAAAUUGCCUAUGACAUUCACCAUUACCAAAUUGUUUUAAUUUGUUGCAGUGGUAAACCAACUUUUUGAAAAUUGAUUGACAAGAUUGACUAUUGAUUUUACAAAAUGAACCUUAUUGGAUAAUCAAGACAUCUAUAAUAUGUAUUCCCUUGCAUGGCAAGAUUUCAUUUUGGCUUAUAUUUUAUUUGAUGAGAUAUUAUUUUGGCUUAAAAUUGUCUUCUUCUGUUUCUGGAUUAUAGCAGCAUCAAUUGUACGUCGA
rnacentral:misc_RNA from 1 species